rnacentral:rRNA from 1 species
UACGUAGGGGGCAAGCGUUGUCCGGAAUCAUUGGGCGUAAAGGGCGUGUAGGCGGCCCGAUAAGUCCGCUGUGAAAGUCCAGGGCUCAACCCUGGAAUGCCGGUGGAUACUGUCGGGCUCGAAUCCGGAAGAGGUGAGUGGAAUUCCUGGUGUAGCGGUGAAAUGCGCAGAUAUCAGGAGGAACACCAAUGGCGAAGGCAGCUCACUGGGACGGUAUUGACGCUGAGACGCGAAAGCGUGGGGAGCAAACAGG